CAACUCCUACAGAAAGCACAAGAUCUCACUUCAGAAAAGCUUUGGGAAAAGUUAUCUGUCAGUAACAGCAUUAGCUGCUAGAAGCUCUCAUUUCCUAUUUUUUCAAGAUUUUCUUCUCCAUCCCCCUGACCCCCUCCUGAGAUUUUCCAUGAAAGAUGGGCAUUUGUGUCUUCAGUAGCCAAACACUGGUGCACAAUCCCCCAGAUCACCAGCCCUGCUCCAGGAAUGCUGAGACUCUCUACUUACACAGAAGGUUAGGGUUGAAAUCUUUGCUCUAGUAUGUAAUCCAUUGUUUUCUAUGAUACUGGACAACUGUAAUAGCAGAGAGCAAAAGAGAUCAAACUUUUAUAGUGUGCUGUAGCUGCAUGAGGCCACUCUUGUCCCGUAUCAUGCACAGGUGCCCUAAAUUUGGGACUAUUUUUCUCCUGUGAUGAGGAGGGAAUAUCAGCACCACAGUUUCCAUUUGCUUGCAUUUUUCCAAAGGGAGUAUGAACAUACCUGGUUGUAGGAGAUGGGUUUAGCUGGAAGAACCACCUGCUGCUUGGUAUUUCUUUCUCAUUGCCCUUUGGCCCUUAGAUGACUCCUCUUUCCCACCCCUUCUCCUCUCACGUGGGCUCACAGUGGGAGGGCUAUCAGUGCCAAGCCCAUUUCAGGCACCUGCUCAAAGCAGGUCAUGAUCCAGCAGAGCUGGCUGAAGCAUGCAGGAGCUUCCCCUUGCCCUGCAGGCAUAAGGGUGUUAUUUCAAAUAUCCAGUAGAUGUCAAUGCCUUAACCUCCUUAACCUCUGGUGGCUAUUCUGGGUCACUUUUUGCAGCCUAACAAUGAUGGACACAGAGCACCAGAUGAGUUUUUUAAUAUAUUAAAUAGGUAGAAAAGAACCGACAGUGCAGGACUGCACAUCAGCCUCAUGCACAAUGCUGUGUGGAUUGUCCCUCAUACCCAGCUGUGUUGAUAAAGUCUCUUCAGUAGCCCUACCCUCUUGUGGAGGGGAGACUUCCCAUGUGCUUUGGACUCAUUAGGAGGUAUUAGGAUCCUUGGUUUCCUGUCUUUCUGUCCUUCCUUUAGUCUGGCUAUUCACGGACAGAGAAGACUGAGUCCUGGAAGGGCUGUGAGAGAAGAGCAAGCACUGUGGGCAGGCAGCUCUUGAGCACCAGGGUAUAGUGGGUAUGGGGUAGUGUUGAGUAGCAGAGCCCAUGUUCACUAUGCUCCCCACAGCAAAGGUUAUUAGGUUUGCAUUUUAGGCUCUUCAAAUGAUCCUAAAAUGUGCCUGGAGUAACGCCUGCUGAGAGCAAUACACAGUUACAGAAUCACAGAUUCUGUACAUUACAGACAUUACAGAUAGUUUAGUGCCACACCCCUGCCAUGGACAGGGACAUUUCAACUAGACCAGGUUGCUCAGAACCCCAUCCAACAUGGCCUUGAAUGUUUCUUGGGAAAUCACCCCUAAUAUCCUCAUUACAAGAGAAAUCUUUUUAAUCCUAACACUCAUUUCUUUUUAUAUCCUAAAACACAUCAGGCACAGGUCUGUAGGAAGUGAGUGCUGGGUGGGAGCUGUCUGCAGUUCCUUGAGCUGGGACUGAAGAGACGUACCAACGCCUCCAAGGUGCUGAUUUUCAUGAAACCAAAAGUUUCGUCAGUAUGUUUGUACCACUUGCCCAAAUGUCCAGUUAAAUUGAAAUGUGGAAUAGAUUGAAGUUUAUUGCCAUGACUGACAACCACUGUGACCACAAUGUCUCUUUUCUUCAGGGAGACAAAGACAGAAGUCCUGCCUCAGCCACCUCCCCAUCCUCCUACAAAUGUGAACAGAUUCUGUGUUCCUCAUAGCUUUUUCAAUAAACCUGUGCCUUGUUUUACCAUUUCUGAUCUGCCUCCAGACCUCAUAUCUGGGUCUCCUCAGCUCUGCUCUUCCAGCUCUAGAAACUUUCUUUAUGCUCUGUCUUUGGCCCUGAGAGAGAGGUGGGGUAACGCACAAGGAUUUCUGGUCUCCACCUGGAAUGGCGCCUGGGUUUUGCAAUCACUGGCUAUUUAGAAAGGCUGGGCAGAUAAAAUCUAAUCUCUUGAGCUAGUCUUGUAUUGCAAUAACUUUGCUACCUCUUAUUACAUGGUGCAAUAAAUAUAUACAACAGCCA